GUUUCUUGUUUUUUUUUUUUGGUUCUGUGUUGUUGAGCUUUGGCAGAUCUAGCCUUCCUGUUUCUGAUAAACCAUCUCCAAGGUUGUAGAUUUCCCAGAAGAAUCAGAUCCAUCAGUUUCUUGUACUUCUCCUUUCAAUCAUAUUUCAUUUCACCUUCUUCUUUACUUUAUUUUAUGUGUUGGAGCUUUGCCUUUUCCUGUUCCUUUUUUGGGUUUUUGCAGGGUGAUGCAUUUUGAGAUGGGUUCUUUGCAGGAGGGCAAUUUCCAUUGAUCCUGAGUUAAAUACUUUCACAAUGAACACUUCAGAAGAAAAAAAAGGAUUCAUUCAUAGAAUUUAAUUUGCUGGAUUGACCUUUCCAUAGUUAAGGAGGAUCUUGCGGAUUUUGCAGGUAUAUACUUCCACAACCCAGAUGGACCAAUUGUGACCGAAGCACUCUCAUAAGUUAGAACUCCCAGUCUUAAACAAGCGACGCCGUGCUAGAGUAAAAGCGGCAAAGUCGCGAGCGACAAGAUCAUAUCCAAAAUCUUGUGAUGACAUAAGAAGUGUAGAUUCAUGUACUUGCAUUUUGAAAUUGCUUCCUUGCUGAUUGUAUCGUGUAGUUUAGUGGUGCAGAGCCAUCUCUCUCCCUGGAUGUAUGGAAUCAGAAUUGCAUGCCAGAUAGGGCAUGAAUGUUCAUUGUUUGAACAUAGCUCAGAACUCAUGUUAGCUGCAUUACUCUCGUAUGAUGCUAUUGCUUAAGUUAGCAGUUUAUCUUCAUUGAUGUGUUAUUUCAUCAGUGGAUUCACGUUACGGCUAGACAUUCGAGCACUUGUUUAAGCGCUACUACAUGGACAGGAAAUUUGUACCUCGAGACAAAUGAAGUUUUGUGAUCUUACUCCUUAAUAGUAGCUUAAUGAAAGCCUCAAGGACAACCCAUGAAGAUU